UUACAAUUCUAUAAGUGUUAGAAAUAAUUUAAAUGGUGUAAAGAAAGCUUAGCUUUAUACAUUAUUAAGUGAUCAAAUAAAAAAAAAAAUUAUUAUGAAGUUUGUUUAUGUUAUGAUCCUUUUUCUCUCAUUAUUUAUUGUUUCAACAAACGGUUAUGAAAAAAUUUCCUGUCAAAACGACUUUGAUUGUCCAGAAAGUAUGUGUGAGUUUGGUAUGAUUCGCAGAUGUAUUAGCUACAAGUGUCAAUGUCAUGAGGCCUACUAAAUGGAAAAGAAUGGUUUCUUGCACCAGAAAAAGAUAUAAGAAAUAUUAUUAAUAAUGUUUUUAAUUAUUAUUGGCACUCAAUAGUUAGGUUAGAUUUUGCAUCUAACUAGUUACAAACCCGUGCUUCGCAUGGGUUAAAUAACGUAUCUUGUAAAAAAAUUAUUUCAAGAUGAAAAUAAGCAAAUUAAUGAAUAUUGCACAAACAUUAGAAAUAUUUAUCCAAAUAUUUAUGAAA